CCUACGUGUGGCAGCAGUGGGGAAUAUUGCACAAUGGGGGAAACCCUGAUGCAGCGACGCCGCGUGAGUGAAUAAGUAAUUCGUUAUGUAAAGCUCUAUCAGCAGGGAAGAAAAUGACGGUAACUGAGUAAGAAGCCCCGGCUAACUACGUGCCAGCAGCCGCGGUAAUACGUAGGGGGCAAGCGUUCUCCGGAUUUACUGGGUGUAAAGGGAGCGGAGACGGCAGUGCCAGUCUUGAUGGAAAGGCGGGGGCGCAACGCCCGGACUGCUCUGGAAACUGUACGGCUGGAGUGCAGGAGAGGUAAGUGGAAUUCCUAGUGUAGCGGUGAAAUGCGUAGAUAUUAGGAGGAACACCAGUGGCGAAGGCGGCUUACUGGACUGUAACUGACGUUGAGGCUCGAAAGCGUGGGGAGCAAACAGGAUGAGAUACCCCUGUAGUC
rnacentral:rRNA from 1 species